rnacentral:rRNA from 1 species
GUGAGAAUCCCGUCUGUGACCGGUGACCAAUCCCAUGUGAAACCCCUUCGACGAGUCGAGUUGUUUGGGAAUGCAGCUCAAAAUGGGUGGUAAAUUUCAUCUAAAGCUAAAUACCGGCCAGAGACCGAUAGCGCACAAGUAGAGUGAUCGAAAGAUGAAAAGCACUUUGGAAAGAGAGUCAAAAAGUACGUGAAAUUGUUGAAAGGGAAGCGCUUGCAACCAGACCUGCCCGCGGGCGAUCAGCCGUCCUUCUGGGCGGUGCACUCGACCGCGAUCAGGCCAGCAUCGGUUCGGGCGGCCGGAUAAAGGCCUUGGGAACGUGGCUCCUUUCGGGGAGUGUUAUAGCCCUUGGUGCAAUGCGGCCCGUCUGAACCGAGGACCGCGCUUCGGCUAGGAUGCUGGCGUAAUGGUUGUAAGCGGCCCGUCUUGAAACACGGACCAAGGAGUCUAACAUCUAUGCGAGUGUUUGGGUGUCAAACCCACGCGCGGAAUGAAAGUGAACGGAGGUGGGAACCCUGAAGGGCGCACCAUCGACCGAUCCAGAUGUCUUCGGAUGGAUUUGAGUACGAGCAUAGCUGUUGGGACCCGAAAGAUGGUGAACUAUGCCUGAAUAGGGUGAAGCCAGAGGAAACUCUGGUGGAGGCUCGCAGCGGUUCUGACGUGCAAAUCGAUCGUCAAAUUUGGGUAUAGGGGCGAAAGACUAAUCGAACCAUU